GAGACCAAUGUCAGUGGAAGCUAAAAAGAAAUUCAAGGCAAGAACCUGGAGGUAGUAACUUGUAACUGGCUUGAACAUCAAAGAUUGCAGAUGUUUAUAUCAUGGAGAGGAACCCUCCACUGUCUCCAGAUGUCCUUGUUGAGAUGACCUGGCCAAACUUUCAACAGACACAUAUCUUUUGACCAGGAGCCUGUCUCUACUCAGGGAAUCAUAACUGUACAAAGUGCUGGAGCACUACUGACACUGUGGAUUAAAAGCCCUUUUCACUGCUUGCCGAUGUAGAACUCUGACUUACCUCUCCAGUACCAGAUCUGUCUACAUGCCAUCAUGAUGGGGUAAACCAAGCCUCUGAAUCUACCCAUAUUUUGUGCACUGCUCACUGGAGGAAAGGCUAUGCACCUUUUGUUCCUCUUGACAAAGGAACUCAGUCAUCCCAAUCAGGGAAGUCCUGUGCAAUUGGCAGUUCUCCUGGAUUGUUCGUUGUUCAGGAUGUCAGCUACCAAGCUGGUACUUAUUGUGAUCUGAUUUCCAGGCUCCAUUUCUCUGUGUUCAGAAUUGUGCAGCAAACUAAACCCUAACCCUGCUCCUUGCUACUGCAGGAUUUGUUCAUU